UUUCCAGCAGCCGCGGUAAUACGUAGGGGGCUAGCGUUGUCCGGAUUUAUUGGGCGUAAAGAGCGUGUAGGCGGCCAGAUAGGUCCGGUGUGAAAACUCGAGGCUUAACCUCGAGAUGUCAUCGGAAACCAUCUGGCUAGAGUCCGGAAGAGGAGAGUGGAAUUCCUGGUGUAGCGGUGAAAUGCGCAGAUAUCAGGAAGAACACCAAUGGCGAAGGCAGCUCUCUGGGACGGUACUGACGCUGAGACGCGAAAGCGUGGGGAGCGAACAGGAUUAGAAACCCUAGUAGUCC
rnacentral:rRNA from 1 species